CAACCCAGACCGCCAGCUAAGGUCCCAAAGUCAUGGUUAAGUGGGAAACGAUGUGGGAAGGCCCAGACAGCCAGGAUGUUGGCUUAGAAGCAGCCAUCAUUUAAAGAAAGCGUAAUAGCUCACUGGUCGAGUCGGCCUGCGCGGAAGAUGUAACGGGGCUAAACCAUGCACCGAAGCUGCGGCAGCGAACGUAUCACUUAAAGCGAUUCAGCGGAUMACGAUUGACGGAGCGAAGCGACGUCAAAGCGUAUACAAAGUCGAGUCGGUUUAAGGAUACGUUCGUUGGGUAGGGGAGCGUUCUGUAAGCCUGUGAAGGUGGCCUGUGAGGGUUGCUGGAGGUAUCAGAAGUGCGAAUGCUGACAUAAGUAACGAUAAAGCGGGUGAAAAGCCCGCUCGCCGGAAGACCAAGGGUUCCUGUCCAACGUUAAUCGGGGCAGGGUGAGUCGACCCCUAAGGCGAGGCCGAAAGGCGUAGUCGAUGGGAAACGGGUUAAUAUUCCCGUACUUGGUGUUACUGCGAAGGGGGGACGGAGAAGGCUAUGUUGGCCGGGCGACGGUUGUCCCGGUUUAAGCGUGUAGG
rnacentral:rRNA from 1 species